rnacentral:rRNA from 1 species
GGUAAGGUGAUAUGAACCGUUAUAACCGGCGAUACCCGAAUGGGGAAACCCAGUGUGAUUCGUCACACUAUCAUUAACUGAAUCCAUAGGUUAAUGAGGCGAACCGGGGGAACUGAAACAUCUAAGUACCCCGAGGAAAAGAAAUCAACCGAGAUUCCCCCAGUAGCGGCGAGCGAACGGGGAGGAGCCCAGAGCCUGAAUCAGCAUGUGUGUUAGUGGAAGCGUCUGGAAAGGCGCGCGAUACAGGGUGACAGCCCCGUACACAAAAGCGCAUGUGCUGUGAGCUCGAUGAGUAGGGCGGGACACGUGGUAUCCUGUCUGAAUAUGGGGGGACCAUCCUCCAAGGCUAAAUACUCCUGACUGACCGAUAGUGAACCAGUACCGUGAGGGAAAGGCGAAAAGAACCCCGGCGAGGGGAGUGAAAAAGAACCUGAAACCGUGUACGUACAAGCAGUGGGAGCACAGGUUUACCUGUGUGACUGCGUACCUUUUGUAUAAUGGGUCAGCGACUUAUAUUCUGUAGCAAGGUUAACCGAAUAGGGGAGCCGGAGGGAAACCGAGUCUUAAUUGGGCGUUAAGUUGCAGGGUAUAGACCCGAAACCCGGUGAUCUAGCCAUGGGCAGGUUGAAGGUUGGGUAACACUAACUGGAGGACCGAACCGACUAAUGUUGAAAAAUUAGCGGAUGACCUGUGGCUGGGGGUGAAAGGCCAAUCAAACCGGGAGAUAGCUGGUUCUCCCCGAAAGCUAUUUAGGUAGCGCCUCGUGAAUUCAUCUCCGGGGGUAGAGCACUGUUUCGGCUAGGGGGCCAUCCCGGCUUACCAACCCGAUGCAAACUGCGAAUACCGGAGAAUGUUAUCACGGGAGACACACGGCGGGUGCUAACGUCCGUCGUGAAGAGGGAAACAACCCAGACCGCCAGCUAAGGUCCCAAAGUCAUGGUUAAGUGGGAAACGAUGUGGGAAGGCCCAGACAGCCAGGAUGUUGGCUUAGAAGCAGCCAUCAUUUAAAGAAAGCGUAAUAGCUCACUGGUCGAGUCGGCCUGCGCGGAAGAUGUAACGGGGCUAAACCAUGCACCGAAGCUGCGGCAGCGACACUGUGUGUUGUUGGGUAGGGGAGCGUUCUGUAAGCCUGCGAAGGUGGCCUGUGAGGGUUGCUGGAGGUAUCAGAAGUGCGAAUGCUGACAUAAGUAACGAUAAAGCGGGUGAAAAGCCCGCUCGCCGGAAGACCAAGGGUUCCUGUCCAACGUUAAUCGGGGCAGGGUGAGUCGACCCCUAAGGCGAGGCCGAAAGGCGUAGUCGAUGGGAAACGGGUUAAUAUUCCCGUACUUGGUGUUACUGCGAAGGGGGGACGGAGAAGGCUAUGUUGGCCGGGCGACGGUUGUCCCGGUUUAAGCGUGUAGGUGUGUGUUCCAGGUAAAUCCGGUUCACUUUAACACUGAGGCGUGACGACGAGGCACUACGGUGCUGAAGCAACAAAUGCCCUGCUUCCAGGAAAAGCCUCUAAGCAUCAGGUAACAUCAAAUCGUACCCCAAACCGACACAGGUGGUCAGGUAGAGAAUACCAAGGCGCUUGAGAGAACUCGGGUGAAGGAACUAGGCAAAAUGGUGCCGUAACUUCGGGAGAAGGCACGCUGACACGUAGGUGAAGUGAUUUACUCAUGGAGCUGAAGUCAGUCGAAGAUACCAGCUGGCUGCAACUGUUUAUUAAAAACACAGCACUGUGCAAACACGAAAGUGGACGUAUACGGUGUGACGCCUGCCCGGUGCCGGAAGGUUAAUUGAUGGGGUCAGCGCAAGCGAAGCUCCUGAUCGAAGCCCCGGUAAACGGCGGCCGUAACUAUAACGGUCCUAAGGUAGCGAAAUUCCUUGUCGGGUAAGUUCCGACCUGCACGAAUGGCGUAAUGAUGGCCAGGCUGUCUCCACCCGAGACUCAGUGAAAUUGAACUCGCUGUGAAGAUGCAGUGUACCCGCGGCAAGACGGAAAGACCCCGUGAACCUUUACUAUAGCUUGACACUGAACAUUGAGCCUUGAUGUGUAGGAUAGGUGGGAGGCUUUGAAGUGUGGACGCCAGUCUGCAUGGAGCCGACCUUGAAAUACCACCCUUUAAUGUUUGAUGUUCUAACGUGGACCCGUUACCCGGGUUGCGGACAGUGUCUGGUGGGUAGUUUGACUGGGGCGGUCUCCUCCUAAAGAGUAACGGAGGAGCACGAAGGUUGGCUAAUCCUGGUCGGACAUCAGGAGGUUAGUGCAAUGGCAUAAGCCAGCUUGACUGCGAGCGUGACGGCGCGAGCAGGUGCGAAAGCAGGUCAUAGUGAUCCGGUGGUUCUGAAUGGAAGGGCCAUCGCUCAACGGAUAAAAGGUACUCCGGGGAUAACAGGCUGAUACCGCCCAAGAGUUCAUAUCGACGGCGGUGUUUGGCACCUCGAUGUCGGCUCAUCACAUCCUGGGGCUGAAGUAGGUCCCAAGGGUAUGGCUGUUCGCCAUUUAAAGUGGUACGCGAGCUGGGUUUAGAACGUCGUGAGACAGUUCGGUCCCUAUCUGCCGUGGGCGCUGGAGAACUGAGGGGGGCUGCUCCUAGUACGAGAGGACCGGAGUGGACGCAUCACUGGUGUUCGGGUUGUCAUGCCAAUGGCACUGCCCGGUAGCUAAAUGCGGAAGAGAUAAGUGCUGAAAGCAUCUAAGCACGAAACUUGCCCCGAGAUGAGUUCUCCCUGAGACUUAGAGUCUCCUGAAGGAACGUUGAAGACGACGACGUUGAUAGGCCGGGUGUGUAAGCGCAGCGAUGCGUUGAGCUAACCGGUACUAAUGAACCGUGAGGCUUAACCUUACAACGCCGAAG